rnacentral:lncRNA from 1 species
GUAAACCCCUCCUCCCUCCGGGUGCCCCUGGGUUGCCCACCACUGCUCCCAGACCUCCUAACAGCAUCUUACCAUCAUUCUGCUUCCAUCGUACAAUUUACCAUCAACUCAGGCACCUGGAUAUCCAGGUGGACAAGGCCUCUACCCUGCGGGCCCUCGCUCCCGUCCUUCCUUCCCUGCCCUGUCCACACAUCGCCUGCCUUGUGCCACCCGCGCUCUCUGUCUUCUCCUGCUCUCCGAUCACCCCUUCCUCCCCUGAGACCUUGUCCCCUUUAUUCCACUGACUCUGGAGCCUUGCUAGCCCCCAUUCUCUCCAUGUGGCCCACGCCCACAGCUCCUUCACGGCCUUGUGUCCUUCCCCUUACUCCAGGGCCUGGAACUUCAGCCACUCUUCUGACAUUGCUCUAAACCGACGGCCUACGAAUUGAUCUCAUAAUUGCACGUCCAACGCUUGAAACAAGAAAUACAACCGACUGCCCCUCUCUGACAUCCCUUCCUCCCUUUCUUCCUUCCUUUUUUUUUUUUUUUAAGAUUUAUUUAUUUACUUAUGAUAGACACAGAGAGAGAGAGGCAGAGACACAGGCAGAGGGAGAAGCAGGCUCCAUGCAGGGAGCCCAACGUGGGACUCGAUCCCGGGUCUCCAGGGUCGUGCCCUAGGCCAAAGGCAGGCACUAAACCGCUGAGCCACCCAGGGAUCCGUUCUUCCUUCCUUAGGAAAUUGCAUACAUUUUACUACUGGACUGACAUGUCUUCAUUUUAAAACAUUCCACAAAAAAUAGGAAGGCACAAAUGGCAAGAUCUCCAACGACCAAUGGAGUGAGGGCGUCCGCGCUGUCUGCGCAUUCCCGGAGGAAAGCGGGACAUGGCCCCCCAGGUGUGCACACCCCCGUUCGGGAGCCACCGUCCGAGCCCUGUCGCCCUCCGUCACAUCCACCCCGCCAACCAAACCUGAGCCCACCUCGUCGCAAGUGUCCCCGCGGCUGUGGACGACGGAGCCCCGGGGCCCUCCCCAGGCUUAGCCUCUCUCCUGGCAGGGGGGCGCUGAGGGCCUCGCAGGCUUGGAGCAGCCGGGGCUCAGAGCCCCACUGUAGCACCAUUUCCUUCACACUCCCCCUCAGGGAACGACUCCCGAGCUGUCAGAAGGAAGAGAUAGACAGGAGAGUGACAAAUUUUAAAGGAACGGCCUGGUGGAUGCGAUCUGGGGGGCGGCGGGAUCUAGGCCUGCCUGCUCCAGGAAGCACUGAGCAGAGGUGCUGGCCAGAGCCGGGAGAUGUGCUGGUGACCGAACUGGCCUCCUGUUAGGGAACCCUUCCCUGUCCCUUGCAUGCCACCUGCCACCUGGAGAACGAUUCGUCCCCAGGUAAGCAGGGUCUUAAGAAGGCCACAUGACAACUCCUAUACUUUCUCAGGGGGAUAAAGAUGAUUCGGGCAAAAUUCCCUCCCUGCCUGAAAGUCCUUCCAUCUUCUGUUGCCCCCCCUACCUAGACUGAUGUUUGGUCACCAGGUGUCCAUGGACUGACCCCUACAUCAGAGUCACAGGCCUAUGAGGAAUGCAGAUUCCUGGGCCUGGGGCAGAUCGAGUCAGAAACUCUCAAACUAGAGCCAGAGAACCUGCAUGGCUUUGCCCAUGGAAGUUUGAGGACCACUGAACCUUCUCCUCUGUCCUUCCCAACCAUGCACCCUCAAUCCCCACCCCCUCGCCACUGUAUUCCUCAGGCCCUCAUCAUGAAGCCCAUGGACACACAAAUGGAAGGGCCCAGGCAGGAAUAAAACCCACUGGGCUUUCA